UACGUAGGGUGCAAGCGUUGUCCGGAAUUAUUGGGCGUAAAAGAGCUCGUAGGCGGUUUUGUUGCGUCGGCUGUGAAAUCCCGAGGCUCAACCUCGGGUCUGCAGUCGAUACGAGCAAACUAGAGUGUUGCAGGGGAGACUGGAAUUCCUGGUGUAGCGGUGAAAUGCGCAGAUAUCAAGGAGGAACACCGAUGGCGAAGGCAGGUCUCUGGGCCAUAAACUGACGCUG
rnacentral:rRNA from 1 species